rnacentral:rRNA from 1 species
CUGGAGUUUGGCAGAGGGGGGUGGAAUUCCACGUGUAGCAGUGAAAUGCGUAGAGAUGUGGAGGAACACCGAUGGCGAAGGCAGCCCCCUGGGCCAAUACUGACGCUCAUGCACGAAAGCGUGGGGAGCAAACAGGAUUAGAUACCCUGGUAGUCCACGCCCUUUACGAUGUCAACUAGGUGUUGGGAGGGUUAAACC